UACGUAGGGUGCAAGCGUUGUCCGGAAUUAUUGGGCGUAAAGAGCUCGUAGGCGGUCUGUCGCGUCGGCUGUGAAAACUCGGGGCUCAACCCCGAGCCUGCAGUCGAUACGGGCAGACUAGAGUGCUGUAGGGGAGACUGGAAUACCUGGUGUAGCGGUGAAAUGCGCAGAUAUCAGGAGGAACACCGGUGGCGAAGGCGGGUCUCUGGGCAGUAACUGACGCUGAGGAGCGAAAGCGUGGGGAGCGAACAGG
rnacentral:rRNA from 1 species